GGAGAAACAGAGAUUGUGAGAAUUUGUCCAAACGUGAAGAUGUUGGCAGUUGUGGUUGUUUUAUUCCUGGCAGCCGGCGUGAGCGACAGCGUGAUUUUGAGUAAAUGCGAGCUGAAGCAGCAGCUUGAAAGUGGCAUUACUCUGCCAAUUCCCAAUUCUGGACAUGCUGGCACAGAUCGUGUGUCAUGUCCAGCUGACCUCUGGCUUCAAUACCAGCGCCAUUAAGACGAUCCCUGAGCCACAAGAGCGCAGCGGUUGUGACGGUUCUCGCCGUGGUAGGUCUCCCAGAGGAAAAAAUUCAGGCGACUCCUCCAGUUUGGAAAGUGACGAGGACAAAAGUGAGGUCUGGACUCUGUACGGCUUGUUCCAGCUUAGUGACCACGUGGUGUGCCGCUCUAUUCAAAGUCGUACACUGAACCUCUGUAGGCUGACCUGCGACAAGCUGAUUGACAAUGACACCAGUGAUGACAUAGACUGUGUCCAGGCCCUUAUAAAUGCAGUAACUGCGCCGAUUCCUGACCGCAAAACUGCUAGACACAUCCGUGAAAUGAUCUCGCUGAUCCACCAGCCACAGUGCAUCGCCGUGAACGCCACUUCAUACUUCGCCGACUGUUAAACACCCUGAAUUCAAGACCUCUUGAUUUGAGUCCUGACCUCUUGUAGCUCCCUGCUUUAUUUUUGCAUUUCUGUGCAUUUAUAUUCGUAGCUUUCUUGCAAGACAACAAAAUCCCAGCACAAGUAGCUUGUGUUUUGUAUACGAGUCAUUAAAACCA
rnacentral:lncRNA from 1 species